AGCAGCCGCGGUAAUUCCAGCUCCAAUAGCGUAUAUUAAAGUUGUUGCAGUUAAAAAGCUCGUAGUUGAAUUUCGAGACCGGCUUAUUGGUCGUGCUUUUGUACGUACUGGUAUAAUCGGUUUCUCCUUUCUGACGAACUAUAAUGCCAUUAAUUUGGUGUUAUAGGGAAUCAGGACUGUUACUUUGAAAAAAUUAGAGUGUUUAAAGCAGGCUCACGCUUGAAUACAUUAGCAUGGAAUAACGGAAUAGGACGUUUGAUUCUAUUUUGUUGGUUUCUAGGAUCGACGUAAUGAUUAAUAGGGAUAGUUGGGGGCAUUAGUAUUCAAUUGUCAGAGGUGAAAUUCUUGGAUUUAUUGAAGACUAACUACUGCGAAAGCAUUUGCCAAGGAUGUUUUCAUUAAUCAAGAACGAAAGUUAGGGGAUCGAAGACGAUCAGAUACCGUCGUAGUCUUAACCAUAAACUAUGCCGACUAGGGAUCGGAUGAUGUUAAUUUUUUAAUGACUCAUUCGGCGCCUUAC
rnacentral:ncRNA from 2 species